rnacentral:rRNA from 1 species
CGGUCACGUUCGUUGCAUAGGAGCGGGUUAAAUGUUCUAUAUAAUAAAUCAAGUUCACAUUCUUUAGUAAACUAAAGCAGAACAAUUGAAUAUAUUAUUUAGAGAUACUACCUAUUAAAUAGUGAAACGCAAUUAAGCAGACAGAUCACUCCACGAACUAAGAACGGCCAUGCACCACCUAUCAUAUAAUCAUGAAAGGACUAUCAUAUUUAUGCUAUAAUAAUAUAAAUAUUAUUAUAACUAUCACCUGUCAAUCCUCAAUAUGUCCGGACCUGGUAAGAUUUCCCGCGUUGGGUCAAAUUAAGCCACAUGCUCCAC